ACGGGAGGCAGCAGUGAGGAAUAUUGGUCAAUGGGCGGAAGCCUGAACCAGCCAAGUCGCGUGAAGGAUGAAGGUAUUAUGUAUUGUAAACUUCUUUAGCAGCAGAGUAAUAAGGGGGUCGUGACCCCCGAUGCAAGUAUGCUGAAAAUAAGGAUCGGCUAACUCCGUGCCAGCAGCCGCGGUAAUACGGAGGAUCCGAGCGUUAUCCGGAUUUAUUGGGUUUAAAGGGUGCGCAGGCGGUUUUUUAAGUCAGUGGUUAAAUCGUGAGGCUCAACCUCAUCACGCCAUUGAUACUGGAAGACUUGAUUGCGGUUGAGGUUGGCGGAAUUCGUCGUGUAGCGGUGAAAUGCAUAGAUAUGACGAAGAACUCCGAUUGGGAAGCCAGCUUACUGUAGCGCCACUGACGCUGAUGCUCGAAAGCGUGGGUAUCGAACAGGAUUAGAUACCCUGGUA
rnacentral:rRNA from 1 species